GGAUCACUUCCCAUUGGGAAGUUAAGGCCAUACGGACAGCCGGGUCCACUGCCGA
rnacentral:sRNA from 12 species